ensembl:snRNA U1 U1 spliceosomal RNA
GCAGUUGCCUGGCAGGGAGACACCAUGAUCACCAAGGUGGUUUUCCCAGGGUGAGGCUCAUCCAUUUCUCUCUGAAUGUGCUGAUCCCCGAGAUUUCCCCAAAUGUGGGAAACUCAAUUGCAUAAUUUGUGGUAGUGGAGGAUUAGGUUUGAGCUUUCCUCUA